CGCGGCGCGGGGCGCUGUGGGAGAGGAAGGGCGCGGCCGGAAGCGGAAGAGAUUUUCCCUCACAUAAUGCAUCGGAUGGAAGUAUUCUUGGAUGAAAUGGCUGCAUAUGGAAAGAGCUGCAUCUGUGGAACCCAUAAUCUCAUUUGUCUCUGAAGCUGGAACUGAAACAAAACUAGGGCUGAACCAAGUCACGCCACAUUCCUGAAUUUCACUUGGUUAAAAUGCUAUGACUGAAUGCUGCUCCUGGCUCCCUGAUGGCAGGAUCCACACUGAGGGGCCGUUCCACAGAAACACCACUGGAAGAUGUCAGCAUGUACCCUGAG
rnacentral:lncRNA from 1 species